CGUCAGCGCAAGGAGGGUCUUCGAUGGGACUUACACAUUCGUUGAAUGUCCUCAUGAUUAGUGCAGCGUUCGUAUUCGUGGCCACAAUGCUCUUCAUCUGAAGUCAGGCCGCUGAGAGUCCAAACCGAAAUAGGGACUUUAAUUUUCCGGAAAUCCAAUUUGCGGCAGAAAUUUU
rnacentral:sRNA from 1 species